UCAAAAUAGUCACGGAUACUGUACCUCUGCUUUGCUGGCUUCAAGCUCUCAAUUGUUCGUCUUUUAUGUCUAUUGUAUGCUAAGACAAUAUAUAGAGAGAGAGACUCUCCUAGUUGGCCACUUUCACUUCUCCAUGGUAUGUUCCUUCUACAAUCUCAUCAUCAGCACUCCACUACCCAAAAGGAACCCGGCCUCCACAACCCAAUUUGAGUUUCCUUUUUCUCUCUCGAUGGUUUUGAUUCCCACUUGAAGUUCCUGUUCUUGAUCUACAAAAGAAAGCUGCUUUGCGGAAGUGGUCAAAUUGAAGGUAAGAACCCUUUUGGUUUCUAAUUCUUCUUCUCAUUUCAUUGCGAUUGUUGGAAUUUUGGGGUGUUGGGAUAUCUGGAGAUUUCUGGGUUUAAUUUUUCAAUGUGAAAUGUUAGACCUUUUGAACAAUUCCAAUAUCUGACAAUUCCUUUUUUUCAAAGCUCUCGCUUUUUCUUUGUAUUUUGGUUGUUUGUUAUUUCAUUACUAGUGGCUAUUGUUUUGGUCAUGGGUUUCUGUUUUAGAAGGAAAUAAAGAUGUGCUUGUUUAUUAUAAGGCUUCAUUUCUCUAUUUGUCUGCUUCAAUCCAUUACGAAAACUCAUGCUAAAUAAUAGGCUACUUCUGGUCAUCCUUUCUUUGAUCCAUAAAAUUUCAAUUAUGCUGUUAUUGAUUUUUGUAUAUUUGUUGCUGUUGUUUUUGUAAUGUUCACCUAUUGUUCUAAGAAGUAGAGGAGAAGAGACUUCACAAUUGGGUUUUUGUUUCACAGUUAUUGCUUUCGGUUGUCUUAUUGUUUUAUACUGGAUUAUUUUCGCAAAAAAGUUGAGGGACAUAGAUGCCCCCUGUAUCACCUGUAUCCAGCUCGCAGGUCUCGCCAAUGGACAUGUAGGGGGCUGGUUCUGGCUCCAAAGAGUUCAUACGACCACUUGGUCAGGAUCCUACUCAGCCCGAGAUUUUUCGUCGUACCCAUCAGAAAAAGGGUACUGGAGAAUUUGUUGAUGCACGGUCGGCUAAAAUAUAUGCUGACUAUGAGAAGAUGAAAGAAGCCAAGCAAAUCUUUGCUCGGUUUGGAAUGCAACCGCUAUGUAAUGACGUUGACGAUGAAGAGCACGAUUCUGACGGGGUUUAGAUUAUAGAUUGCAGUUUAAUUGUUGUAAUAUAUUUUGACAAUUUGACUUCAACACAAUUUUUAUAUAAAUAUUUUUAUUACAAA